rnacentral:rRNA from 1 species
AAAAUUAGAGUGUUCAAAGCAGGCAGAUCCAAUUUUCUGCCACCGAAUACAUUAGCAUGGGAUAAUGGAAUAGGACCCUGUCCUCCUAUUUUCAGUUGGUUUUGGCAGCGCGAGGACUAGGGUAAUGAUUAAUAGGGAUAGUUGGGGGCAUUAAUAUUUAAUUGUCAGAGGUGAAAUUCUUGGAUUUAUGAAAGAUUAACUUCUGCGAAAGCAUCUGCCAAGGAUGUUUUCAUUAAUCAAGAACGAAAGUUAGGGGAUCGAAGACGAUCAGAUACCGUCGUAGUCUUAACCAUAAACGAUGCCGACCAGCGAUUAGGAGACGUUGAAUACAAAACACCACCAUCGGCGCGGUCGUCCUUGGCGUCGGUCCUUCACGGGGCCGGCGCGAGGGCGGCUUAGCCC